AACGAACGCUGGCGGCAGGCCUAACACAUGCAAGUCGAACGCUCGUAGCAAUACGGGAGUGGCGCACGGGUGAGUAACGCGUGGGCACCUGCCCGGUGGUUUGGGAUAACCGUGGGAAACUGCGGCUAAUACCGGAUACGCCCCUCGGGGGAAAGAUUUAUCGCCAUCGGAUGGGCCCGCGUAGGAUUAGCUAGUUGGUGAGGUAACGGCUCACCAAGGCGACGAUCCUUAGCUGGUCUGAGAGGAUGAUCAGCCACACUGGGACUGAGACACGGCCCAGACUCCUACGGGAGGCAGCAGUGGGGAAUAUUGGACAAUGGGGGGCAACCCUGAUCCAGCCAUGCCGCGUGAGUGAAGAAGGCCUCGGGUUGUAAAGCUCUUUUGGCGGGGACGAUGAUGACGGUACCCGCAGAAUAAGCCCCGGCUAACUUCGUGCCAGCAGCCGCGGUAAU
rnacentral:rRNA from 1 species